GGUAAUAGAUGAUUGUUGUCUAAAGGAGAUAGACUAUGAAGGAGGUCAGUUUACCUAGUGUUAUGGAAGGGAGGCAAACUUGAUUUUUGAAAGAUUAGAUAAAGUUUUGUGUAACAAAGAUUGGGAUCAGUUGUUUGUGGUUUCUAAAGUUUGUCACUUGCGUCCCUGGAACUCGGACCACAUACCUCUUUUACUCAUGUUUAACUCUACUCCUCCUCAACUUGCUCAGUCUCGGCCCAUUUGGAGGUCUAGGCUCCACUUUGAGCAGGCUUGGACUUCUAAGGAAACUUACCAGGAAGUCAUCCAAGAGUGUUGGCAGUGUUCAAAAGCAUCCUUAUAGCCAGGGAUUUACGCCAUAAAAUUUAAGUUUGUGGUUCCAAACUCAUCGUUGGAAUAGAAACUAUAAAAAUGAGCUGAACAAAAAGAAACAGAGUCUUCAACUAGAGAUAGAAGUUCUUUCAAGCUCGUGGGAGGGAUCUGAUUGGCUGCAAAAUCAUAUUUUGAGUAAGAGCCUUGAUGCGGUGUUGGAAAAGGAAGAGCUAAUUUGGCACCAACGAAGUAGGGCCCUUUGGCUAAGGUGUGGAGACCAAAACACAAGGUUCUUCCAUAGCAAAUCCUCGGAUAAAAGAUAGAAAAUGAAAUAAAUGGUUUAUUUGAUAACAAUAUUGUUUGCCAGGACUCAAAUGAAGAGUGCCCACUUAUAUGAAUGAAGAACUUCUUUGCCCUUUUUCCGAAGAUGACAUCAAAAAGGCUAUGUUUCAGAUCCACUCUUUAAAAAGCCCCUGGUUCGGAUGGUCUUCCUGGGUUAUUUUUUCAAUCUCAUUGGGACUUGGUGGGUCCUACGGUCACAAGGGUUUGCCUAAAUAUCCUUAACAACGAUGGGGAUUGUAGGGCUCUUAAUGCCACUCUUAUUUGUCUUAUUCCAAAGAAAGAGAAGUUGGUUCACUUACUUGAUUUUCGCCCCAUUAGUCUCUGUAAUGUGGUGUACAAAGUGAUUUCCAAGUGUCUUGCCAAUAGGAUGAAGGAAAGCUUGCCUCUUGUUAACUUGAAAAACCAAAGUGCUUUUAUUGGAGGUCAGUUGAUUCAAGAUAAUGCCAUCAUUGGCUUUGAAAGUCUCAAUACUAUGAAGAAAGGGUAGUUCGGUAAUGGCAAAAAGAUGGCUUUAAAAUUAGACAUGUUUAAGGCUUAUGAUAGGGUGGAAUGGAAGUUUGUUGAAGUAAUGAUGUGUUGCCUUGGUUAUGAGGAGGAUUGGAUCCACAAAAUCAUGAAUUGUGUUAUCCCCAUCUCCUUUUCCAUUUAAAUGGUGAAGUUCGUGGUUUGGUUACUCCUCAACGGGGUUUAAGACAAGGAGACCCUCUCUCUCCCUAUCUUUUCCUUCUUUGUUCCGAGGGGCUGUCUUGCCUAAUUCAAGAAGCUAGAUAUCAAGCAUAUAUAAGUGGUGUUCUUUUUGGCAAAAAUGGUUUAAGAGUUUCUCAUUUAUUUUUUUCGAUGAUACCUUUAUUUUUCUUAACUCUUGUCCUAAUGAAGAUGCAGCAAUAAAGCUAUUCUUGACGUUUAUGCUUCAGUUUUAGGUCAGAAAAUUAAUUUGGAGAAGUUGAAAGUUUUUGUGGGAAAGAGCAUUUCUCAAGCAGAAGCUCGGAACUUGGCUGCUUCUCUUGGAGUUACUCUUAUUGACUGUCACUCUAAAUAUUUGGGCAUGCUAGCCUUUGUGGGGAAAAGAAAGAAAGAAGUGUUUGCUAUGAUUAAGCAAAACAAUUGGAAUAAACUUAGAGAAUGGAAAGCCAAUCUCUUCUCUCAAGCGGGUAGAGAAAUCCUUAUCAAGGCUGUUGUACAAGCAAUUCCUUGUUACAUUAUGAGCUGUUUUCGCAUUCCAAAGUGCUUAAUUAAGGAAAUUCAUGCCAUGGCUACUCAGUUUUGGUGGGGCUCCUCUCUCCACAAGAAGAAGAUUCAUUGAAGUUGGGAAAAGUUGUGUAAGGAGAAGAACAAAGGCGGUUUGGGGUUUCAAAAUUUGGAAGAUUUUAAUCGUGCUUCUUACUAAACCAAGGUUGAAUUUAAUUUCUAAGCCUUCCUCCCUUCUAGCCCACAUCCUCAAUGAAUGCUACUUUGUGAAUGAAGACUUUUUGAAUGCUAAAACUAGUUCCUACAGUUCAGUCAUUUGGAGAAGUAUUUUAUGGGGGGUGAAGUGCUCAAAAAAGGAAUUCGUUGGCGUAUUCAAAAUGGGGCUUCAGUUAGAAUCAAUGAGGAUACUUGGCUUCCCCGUCUAAAGACCUUUACUUUGCAAUUCAAAGCUCUAGUUCCUCCUAACACAAUGGUUAGUUUUCUUUUAGAUGACAAUGGGGACUGGAAUACUCAUAUGGUUACUAAGGUUUUCUAUUAGGAUGAUGUUCCUUGGAUAUUGGGAAUUGUUCCUGUAGGCAUUAAACAACAAGAUGAUAUGUGUUGGAGUUUCACUAAAGAUGGUAGAUAUACAGUGAAAACUGGUUAUAAACUGGCUAGAAGUUUGACUGUUGUAGCUGAAAGUUUGAAUGAUGAUCACCUAGUGAGUUGGUGCAGAAAUCUUUGGCAUUUGGAUCUGCCUCCUAAAGUUAAAAAUUUCUGGUGGAGGGUUUGUCACAAUUGGCUUUUCAUGUCCAGAAUAAUCUUCUCAAGAAAGGUCUUGAUCUUUCCCAUAAUUAUUUCAGAUGUCAGGGUAAUCCCGAAACUAUAGUUCAUGCUCUUUGGGGUUGUAGGAGUGUUAAGAAAAUUUGGGAUUCGGUUAAUUUGUUACAGCUCUUCCCUUAUAACAGCUUUGAUCCUUUUGAUUUUUCUUUGAGUGUUUGGUCUCGCUGCUCUAAGUAGGAUUUUAUGGUUUUCUGCAUCUUAUCUUGGGCGGUGUGGUCGAGAAAAAAUAAGUUGCUUCAUAAUUUGGUGAUGCCAAAUGAGUUGGACUUUGUUAAUUGGUCCUUACAGCUCCUUACGGACUAUGAAAGUAAGGGUAACAGUCAUAACAAAAGAGAGAAGUUGAAGUGGCAAGCCCCUCCUCCUGGGAAAAUACGAAUUGACUGUGAUGCUUCGCUUGGGAGAGAGUCCAUGGGUUGUGGCUUAGGUGUUGUGGCUCAGGACCAUGGAGGUAAAGUUCUUGUUUCUCAAUCGGUAUAUAAACCUGGGACUUUUUCAGUGGAGCUAGCUAAGAGUUUAGCCGUUCAGCUGGGUUUUUAGUUGGCCAACAAUCUUCGUUUGAAUUAUUUCCAGCUUUCCUCGGAUUGUGGGACAGUGAUAAAAGUUUUGAAUUGUACAGAUACAACUCUGACUAAUUAGUCCUCAGUCAUUGAUACUAUUAAGGAUUGCCCUACGUAUACUUUAUGCAGUUUUAUUUUUCAUUCUUUUAGGGAAGCUAAUAGGGUAGCUCACAUUAUUUCUAAGUUUGCUUGUACUAAGUUUGUUUCUGAGUUGUAGUUGGGCUCUGUUUGUGCCUCUGCUUUGAUUCAAGCAAAAUUGCCUUAGUUGGUGUUU